UAACCACUGGAAACGGUGGCUAAUACCGCAUAACGUCGCGAGACCAAAGUGGGGGACCUUCGGGCCUCACACCAUCGGAUGAACCCAGAUGGGAUUAGCUAGUAGGUGGGGUAACGGCUCACCUAGGCGACGAUCCCUAGCUGGUCUGAGAGGAUGACCAGCCACACUGGAACUGAGACACGGUCCAGACUCCUACGGGAGGCAGCAGUGGGGAAUAUUGCACAAUGGGCGCAAGCCUGAUGCAGCCAUGCCGCGUGUAUGAAGAAGGCCUUCGGGUUGUAAAGUACUUUCAGCGGGAGGAAGGGGACGAGGUUAAUAACCUCGUUCAUUGACGUUACCCGCAGAAGAAGCACCGGCUAACUCCGUG
rnacentral:rRNA from 1 species